rnacentral:rRNA from 1 species
AUACGUAGGUGGCAAGCGUUGUCCGGAUUUACUGGGUGUAAAGGGCGUGUAGCCGGGCCGACAAGUCAGAUGUGAAAUCCACGGGCUUAACCCGUGAACUGCAUUUGAAACUGUUGGUCUUGAGUAUCGGAGAGGUAACCGGAAUUCCUAGUGUAGCGGUGAAAUGCGUAGAUAUUAGGAAGAACACCAGUGGCGAAGGCGGGUUACUGGACGACAACUGACGCUGAGGCUCGAAAGCGUGGGGAGC